CCAAUAGCGUAUAUUAAAGUUGUUGCAGUUAACAAGCUCGUAGUUGAAUUUUGGAUUCUUCCAAUUGGUCCAUCUUUUAGAUGAGUACUGGUUGUGUGGGGUCUAUCCGCCUGGUGAUACGUAAUGUCCUUUAUUGGAUGUUGCGGGUAGUCAGGACCUUUACCUUGAAACAAUUAGAGUGUUUAAAGCAGGCUUAUGCCGGAAUACAUUAGCAUGGAAUAAUAGAAUAGGACGAAGUUGUUUUAUUUUGUUGGUUUCUAGGACAACCGUAAUGAUUAAUAGGGAUAGUUGGGGGCAUUAGUAUUCAAUUGUCAGAGGUGAAAUUCUUGGAUUUAUUGAAGACUAACUACUGCGAAAGCAUUUGCCAAGGAUGUUUUCAUUAAUCAAGAGCGAAAGUUAGGGGAUCGAAGACGAUCAGAUACCGUCGUAGUCUUAACCAUAAACUAUGCCGACUAGGGAUCGGGCGAUGUUGUUUCCAUGACUCGCUCGGCACCUUAUG
rnacentral:rRNA from 1 species